AUUGAACGCUGGCGGCAGGCUUAACACAUGCAAGUCGAGCGGAGAUGAGGUGCUUGCACCUUAUCUUAGCGGCGGACGGGUGAGUAAUGCUUAGGAAUCUGCCUAUUAGUGGGGGACAACAUUCCGAAAGGAAUGCUAAUACCGCAUACGCCCUACGGGGGAAAGCAGGGGAUCUUCGGACCUUGCGCUAAUAGAUGAGCCUAAGUCGGAUUAGCUAGUUGGUGGGGUAAAGGCCUACCAAGGCGACGAUCUGUAGCGGGUCUGAGAGGAUGAUCCGCCACACGGGGACUGAGCAACGGCCCAGACGCCUACGGGAGGCAGCAGUGGGGAAUAUUGGACAAUGGGCGGAAGCCUGAUCCAGCCAUGCCGCGUGUGUGAAGAAGGCCUUUUGGUUGUAAAGCACUUUAAGCGAGGAGGAGGCUACCUGGAUUAAUACUCUAGGAUAGUGGACGUUACUCGCAGAAUAAGCACCGGCUAACUCUGUGCCAGCAGCCGCCGCGGUAA
rnacentral:rRNA from 1 species